GAAUUUGAGGGUGACCUGGCUGUGACAAGCCACCCCACUGAUCACCAGUGUUUUUUCAGCUGAUCUUACUGGCUUGCUGGGUGUCCCGUUUCUCCUCCACAGUGCAGUGUCUGCCCUUCCUGAAGCAGAAUGCUCGGUCAAAAAGGACACCUUUUUCCCUCUUAACAUUAAAGAACUUUCCAUGUUGAUUUCUGUUUAGGUAAGUUUCAGAACCAGCAUUCAUUUGAACCUUCUAGAAUUGAAAAGUGGCACUGAAAAUUAAUCAUAAGAAUAAAGAAAUCCUCUCCUUUAGAGUCCCUGUUUCUAAAA
rnacentral:snRNA from 1 species